GCAGAUGAAGAGGAGCCUGCCACUGACCUGCUGAAAUUCCACUCUGGCUCUUUGUGUAGUGUUUGCUCAAUCUGUGAGCACUGCUCUAAUAACUGUGACAAAUGUCCCUGUGAAGAUGAGUCGGAUCACUGUGAGCACUGCCAAGAAUGCUCAUCCUGCUACAUUUGCCCCAUACUGUGUGACACAAUUUGCACACCAGGUGGCCUUGUUGAUGAGCUAACUGGGACCCUCUUUCAGACUGUUGCCUCUCUACUCUGAAUAACCUGAAGACUGUGCUCUUUAAUGCCACCCUGUUGGUUGCACAAGGUACAGCGCCCAGGAUUGGGGCUGUUCAUACCUCUCCAGCAACACGUGGACUCCCACAAGAGCUUGUCAUGAAUAC